UACGGAGGGUGCAAGCGUUGCUCGGAAUUAUUGGGCGUAAAGGGUAGGUAGGUGGUCUCAUUUGUCUGGGGUGAAAUCCUUGAGCUUAACUCAAGAAGUGCCUCAGAAACGGUGAGACUAGAGUUCUGGAGAGGGUCGUGGAAUUCCCGGUGUAGCGGUGAAAUGCGUAGAUAUCUGGAGGAACACCGGUGGCGAAGGCGGCAUCCUGGACCGGUAUUGACGCUGAGGCGCGAAAGCCAGGGGAGCAAACGGG
rnacentral:rRNA from 1 species